rnacentral:rRNA from 1 species
AUGGUGGAUAUCCCCGUCAAAGCUGGAAAGAAGAAGCAGAGGCGAACAAUGGUACGACGGAAUGUGUUACCGAAGACUUCAUUGCUUGAUUUGACUGUUACCAAAAGAGGUGCUCUGGCUUGCACAUUGUAUGAAUCCUAUAUCCUGGGAAAAGAAGUUGUCCAAACUGUCACUGUAGCAGGUUCUACAUCUAAUCAUUCUGAACUCCACAUGCAAUCAGCGCUUGCCAAAGGAGUUAUCAACUCAGUCUUGUUGUUUUACUCAUCAACGCACUUUGCUGGGUGGAGUUUCUGUGGGAAGCUCAAACCAUCAGAUUUCUUUGUCACGCCUUUGGGUUACUUCAAAGUCUUGGCCUCGAAGCUUCAAAAGUUGAAACCCAAGAAUGAAAGGAGGGUUCGGAAAGAUUACCGUGUAGUCUUCCGAAUGCUGAAGUCUCUUUUCUGCAGAGCAUUGCAUCUGCCAAAGGAAGUUCGACACCUGUUGAAGCUUUUGAGAGAAUUCAGACAGAAAGAUUGUUUAAUUGUGAACAAUCAUCCGUCUGGUAUGAGUGAGCAGGAGAAAUUAUCCCUUCUUGUGAGAUGUUGCCAGGAAUUAGAGCACCUCGAAAAGGAAUAUCCUGAAAAGUACAUGCAAGUAAUAACCGGGCUGCCAUUCUGUAAACCCCACUGGAAGAUAAGAGUCAGUAAAAAUCUAUACUUGGAUAAUGUGCUAGCUGAAACAAUUGACACCUACCCGGAUGAUGGGACAGGUGUUGUCGAGUUUGUAUGGAAUUCAUUGGAGUACUUGGGCACACAGCAAUCUGCCAAUUUGACGACGGGCCAGACAAGAAAAAGGAAGAACUUUGAGGAUGAGCAAGUGGAGCGCACGCUGGGGAAAGCCCUGCCUGGGUUACUUUGUGAACUUAUGAAGCUACUCAAUGAUGUGGGAGAACUUCAGAAAAUCCUUGGGGUGUCGCGUCCUAGGCUUGGUGGUUGCUGUAGAACAGAUCACUGGUAA